UCGGAUAGCAGCCUCUUGCUUCUUCAACUAUGCUUGCCCUCCCGGAUCAAACGUCCACCUAGGGGAAUUAUCUAAUAAAGCAAAUGAGUUAGUUGAAGCAGUUAUAUACAAAUCAAUUUUAUGAAGUUGCCAUUUUUGUUUUUCUUUUGUUUUUGGCAACUUUUUACAAUAUUUCUCUUUUGAUGGUUGCAUGUGUUCUCUAAUCCUCUCAUGCUUUGUAAAAUUUUCAAUAGUGGUUACUUGUUCCUUAGGCAUAAUUCCUUUAGGAAGUGGUAACAACGCAAAAAGAGAAAGAGGACUAUGUUCACAUACAACUUCAAAUGUAGAAAUAUUAGUAGUCUUGUG
rnacentral:lncRNA from 1 species